CACGGGGCUGCCCGCCGCCGCCAGCCCGUUGGCCAGAGGCCGCCGCCGCUCGAAGUACAGCCCCAGCAUGAUGAGCGACGGCUGGAAGUUGAGGGCCAGGCCCAGGCCUGCGGGCGAGGCGGUGCUGUGCCGGGGUCCCCGGAGAGCCCCUCCCUGGCCCCCACAGGAGGGAGGGGCCAGGCCCGGGAACCCAGCAGAUCCGGGAACCCAGCCGAGGGACUUCGAAGACUGUCCCUCAUAGGGAAACCGAGGACAGAUCUUGCAGCAAGAACCCCCGACCCCCAACCCAGCGGAGAGGAGACCAGGGGGCCCUCACCUGUGAGCACCCCAGCGGUCAGGUAGAGCUCCAGGAGGCGCGUGGCAAAGGAAGCUAGGAUCAUGCCCGCGGAAGCCAGCAGCCCACCCGCCAGCAUCACCGGGCGACAGCCAAAGCGGGUCACGAGGAUGCUGGACACGGGGCCUGUGGGCAGGGCAGGGUCACCACCCGGGUCCCGGGAUGGCUUGAGUCCUCUAAGGAAUAAGGUCACCUCCGGCUCAGGGACACAGAGAGGAGGGCAGUGUCUGGCCAAGGUCACACAGCUUGGAGGGGACAGGCCAAAGAGACAGCAUCCUGCGAGGGCAAGGCCCAGAGCACCCCAUCCUGCGAACCCAAACCCCAAGCGGAGCGGGGGCUUCCGCACCCCUUUAACCUUCACAGCCUCCAAGUCCCGCCCUGGCACAGACUGGGAUUCCUCCGCAGCCCCGCCUCCCAGGAUGGGAACUCCAGCAAGCCCCCACCUACAGGGCGCUGAAGGACGAGGGGAGGACGACGGGUCCCACCUGACUCUGCACCUCUGCAGGCUCCCUCUGAAGGACAACUGCUGGCCCCUCAGGGCCUCAGGUGGAAGGCGUCGGGAAGUGGAGCAGAUAGGGUCUCACAGUGUUGCUCAAGCUGAUGUUGAACUGUUGGAAUCAAGAGAUCCUCCUGCCCCAGUCUCCCUAGUAGCUGGGACUACAAGUGUGUGCCGCCGCACCUGCCACCCUCCUCACUGUUUGGGCCCCCAUGUGAGGACUCACCUCGGGAAGAGCUCCUGUGGCUAUGUGAGUCAAGGAUGGAACGAUGGUCCCAGAACAUCCCAGGAGGGUGUGACAGCCUCCAUCUAGAAGGUUCUAUCCUCAGGUCCCCAAGGCAUCUGCAGCACACCGUCCUCUGCUGUGGGUCUGUGAAGCAGCCACUCCAGCAGCAGGUGUCCCUAUCGUUGGCGUUCUCAGUCAUCUCUCUCCCCACUGACCCCCUUCCGUUCCUGUCCCUGUGGUCACCCGCCCAGCUAUGGACCUUCGCGCCUAACUAUGAGUCCCUCCAUACAUCACCUAUCCCCCACUCACCUGUCUAUACUCCAUCCCCCGUGUAGCCACGAAUCCAUCCAGCACCCCCUCACCACUCACACCUCUCCAAUCACCCAUCAGUGUCUGUCCACCACAUCUGCGCAUCCUCCCAUGUCCCUAACCACCCAGUCAGUGACCCCCCCCCCGCCAUUUAAGGCCAUCCACUUGCACACACAGACCUCCACCUACCCAGACGCACAUCCCCUGGUCCACCCAUUCGCCUGUCCACCAUCCAUUAAGCACAGGACCACUCAUCCAUCCGUGGGCUGGUGUGGGCAGCCACCACCCGCUCUGCCCAUGCACGCAUUCAUCCUGCGCUGCUUCUCUCCUGCAGCAGGAGUGGGCACCGUACACUACCCUGCCCAUGAAGCCCCGAGGGGGCACUGCCUGGCUCCAGCCAGCCCCAUCUGCCCCGUUUUCCCCUGCAGGACAGUGGUGCCUGUCCAUUCCCUCUGCUAGCUGCCAGCCCUGCUGUCCUCCGCACUUUCUGGCAACCUCACUGUAUGAAACUCCCCAAAUCCUCCUCCACGUCAAGUGUCAAAACAGCCCAGUUUAAGUGCUUUCAGGAUUUCCACGGAGCCUGACCGCAAAGAGGUGAGCACAUUUAAGCCCCUACUCCCAGCCCAGCCCCCUGCAUCAGAGUUCCAGGGCUGACUCUGCAGAGGGGAAGCAGCCUCCUCCCAGAGGCAGGCACACAGUAGGUGCUCAAGCAAUAGGAUUUCUGCCAUUUCCACACUUUUGGAAGAACCUGCCCAUCCCCCAUCCUCUGCCCGCUCUCAAGGACCGUCAUCCUGAACUUGGUAAGGCGGCUCUUCCUACUCCCACUGAAUGAAUGAGGAAACUGAGGCAGGGUGCGGGGGUCGGGAGGAGAGGAGCAUUGUCCGAGGCCCCCGGGGGAGGCCAGGGAAACCUCAGUCCGGCAGGUCCCCGGGUUCCCGGCCCCCAGGGCCUUCUUCUCAACCCACCCCCGGCCCCUCCAAGGCUCCCACUCACGCGGACGAGCCCUCCAGCUUGCCGUAGAGCCAGCCGUUCUGGGCCUCGGGCACCAACACCUCCACCACGUCCCCAGCGGAGAAGCGCAGCAGCGUGUGGUUGGCGCCCUCCGAGUGGGAGACCAGGGCGCGGACUCUCCUGGCGCCCCCGCCGCCGCCCGGGCGCUCGCCAAAGGAGUUGGAGCGCGAGCUUUGGGCGCUGCCGCUGUAGAGCGAGGCUGUGGGCGGGAGAGCGCGGCGGCACGUGGGCAGGAAGUUCUUCCUGGCGUCUGCCCUCGAUCCCUCCUGCUGCAGCCCCACCCC
rnacentral:lncRNA from 1 species